rnacentral:rRNA from 1 species
CCGCCCGUCACGCCAUGGGAGCCAACUGCUCCAGAAGUCGGUGCGCUAACCGCAAGGAGGCAGCCGCCCAAGGAGUGCUUGGUGACUGGGGUG